rnacentral:rRNA from 1 species
GGGUUGUGAGGUUAAGCGACUAAGCGUACACGGUGGAUGCCCUGGCAGUCAGAGGCGAUGAAGGACGUGCUAAUCUGCGAUAAGCGUCGGUAAGGUGAUAUGAACCGUUAUAACCGGCGAUUUCCGAAUGGGGAAACCCAGUGUGUUUCGACACACUAUCAUUAACUGAAUCCAUAGGUUAAUGAGGCGAACCGGGGGAACUGAAACAUCUAAGUACCCCGAGGAAAAGAAAUCAACCGAGAUUCCCCCAGUAGCGGCGAGCGAACGGGGAGCAGCCCAGAGCCUGAAUCAGUGUGUGUGUUAGUGGAAGCGUCUGGAAAGGCGCGCGAUACAGGGUGACAGCCCCGUACACAAAAAUGCACAUGCUGUGAGCUCGAUGAGUAGGGCGGGACACGUGGUAUCCUGUCUGAAUAUGGGGGGACCAUCCUCCAAGGCUAAAUACUCCUGACUGACCGAUAGUGAACCAGUACCGUGAGGGAAAGGCGAAAAGAACCCCGGCGAGGGGAGUGAAAAAGAACCUGAAACCGUGUACGUACAAGCAGUGGGAGCCUCUUUAUGGGGUGACUGCGUACCUUUUGUAUAAUGGGUCAGCGACUUAUAUUCUGUAGCAAGGUUAACCGAAUAGGGGAGCCGAAGGGAAACCGAGUCUUAACUGGGCGUUAAGUUGCAGGGUAUAGACCCGAAACCCGGUGAUCUAGCCAUGGGCAGGUUGAAGGUUGGGUAACACUAACUGGAGGACCGAACCGACUAAUGUUGAAAAAUUAGCGGAUGACUUGUGGCUGGGGGUGAAAGGCCAAUCAAACCGGGAGAUAGCUGGUUCUCCCCGAAAGCUAUUUAGGUAGCGCCUCGUGAAUUCAUCUCCGGGGGUAGAGCACUGUUUCGGCAAGGGGGUCAUCCCGACUUACCAACCCGAUGCAAACUGCGAAUACCGGAGAAUGUUAUCACGGGAGACACACGGCGGGUGCUAACGUCCGUCGUGAAGAGGGAAACAACCCAGACCGCCAGCUAAGGUCCCAAAGUCAUGGUUAAGUGGGAAACGAUGUGGGAAGGCCCAGACAGCCAGGAUGUUGGCUUAGAAGCAGCCAUCAUUUAAAGAAAGCGUAAUAGCUCACUGGUCGAGUCGGCCUGCGCGGAAGAUGUAACGGGGCUAAACCAUGCACCGAAGCUGCGGCAGCGACGCUUAUGCGUUGUUGGGUAGGGGAGCGUUCUGUAAGCCUGUGAAGGUGUGCUGUGAGGCAUGCUGGAGGUAUCAGAAGUGCGAAUGCUGACAUAAGUAACGAUAAAGCGGGUGAAAAGCCCGCUCGCCGGAAGACCAAGGGUUCCUGUCCAACGUUAAUCGGGGCAGGGUGAGUCGACCCCUAAGGCGAGGCCGAAAGGCGUAGUCGAUGGGAAACAGGUUAAUAUUCCUGUACUUGGUGUUACUGCGAAGGGGGGACGGAGAAGGCUAUGUUGGCCGGGCGACGGUUGUCCCGGUUUAAGCGUGUAGGCUGGUUUUCCAGGCAAAUCCGGAAAAUCAAGGCUGAGGCGUGAUGACGAGGCACUACGGUGCUGAAGCAACAAAUGCCCUGCUUCCAGGAAAAGCCUCUAAGCAUCAGGUAACAUCAAAUCGUACCCCAAACCGACACAGGUGGUCAGGUAGAGAAUACCAAGGCGCUUGAGAGAACUCGGGUGAAGGAACUAGGCAAAAUGGUGCCGUAACUUCGGGAGAAGGCACGCUGAUAUGUAGGUGAAGUCCCUCGCGGAUGGAGCUGAAAUCAGUCGAAGAUACCAGCUGGCUGCAACUGUUUAUUAAAAACACAGCACUGUGCAAACACGAAAGUGGACGUAUACGGUGUGACGCCUGCCCGGUGCCGGAAGGUUAAUUGAUGGGGUUAGCCGCAAGGCGAAGCUCUUGAUCGAAGCCCCGGUAAACGGCGGCCGUAACUAUAACGGUCCUAAGGUAGCGAAAUUCCUUGUCGGGUAAGUUCCGACCUGCACGAAUGGCGUAAUGAUGGCCAGGCUGUCUCCACCCGAGACUCAGUGAAAUUGAACUCGCUGUGAAGAUGCAGUGUACCCGCGGCAAGACGGAAAGACCCCGUGAACCUUUACUAUAGCUUGACACUGAACAUUGAGCCUUGAUGUGUAGGAUAGGUGGGAGGCUUUGAAGUGUGGACGCCAGUCUGCAUGGAGCCGACCUUGAAAUACCACCCUUUAAUGUUUGAUGUUCUAACGUUGACCCGUGAUCCGGGUUGCGGACAGUGUCUGGUGGGUAGUUUGACUGGGGCGGUCUCCUCCUAAAGAGUAACGGAGGAGCACGAAGGUUGGCUAAUCCUGGUCGGACAUCAGGAGGUUAGUGCAAUGGCAUAAGCCAGCUUGACUGCGAGCGUGACGGCGCGAGCAGGUGCGAAAGCAGGUCAUAGUGAUCCGGUGGUUCUGAAUGGAAGGGCCAUCGCUCAACGGAUAAAAGGUACUCCGGGGAUAACAGGCUGAUACCGCCCAAGAGUUCAUAUCGACGGCGGUGUUUGGCACCUCGAUGUCGGCUCAUCACAUCCUGGGGCUGAAGUAGGUCCCAAGGGUAUGGCUGUUCGCCAUUUAAAGUGGUACGCGAGCUGGGUUUAGAACGUCGUGAGACAGUUCGGUCCCUAUCUGCCGUGGGCGCUGGAGAACUGAGGGGGGCUGCUCCUAGUACGAGAGGACCGGAGUGGACGCAUCACUGGUGUUCGGGUUGUCAUGCCAAUGGCACUGCCCGGUAGCUAAAUGCGGAAGAGAUAAGUGCUGAAAGCAUCUAAGCACGAAACUUGCCCCGAGAUGAGUUCUCCCUGACCCUUUAAGGGUCCUGAAGGAACGUUGAAGACGACGACGUUGAUAGGCCGGGUGUGUAAGCGCAGCGAUGCGUUGAGCUAACCGGUACUAAUGAACCGUGAGGCUUAACCUUACAACGCCGAAGCUGUU